rnacentral:rRNA from 1 species
GUGCCAGCAGCCGCGGUAAGACGAGUGGUCCUAGCGUUAGUCGGAAUCACUGGGCUUAAAGGGUGCGUAGGCGGGCCAGUAAGUGCCUUGUGAAAGCCCCCGGCUCAACCGGGGAACCGCAGGGCAUACUGCUGGUCUUGAGGAAGCUAGAGGCUGGUGGAACGAUAGGUGGAGCGGUGGAAUGCGUAGAGAUCUAUCGGAACGCCGAUGGUGAAGACAGCCAGCUGGGGCUUUCCUGACGCUGAGGCACGAAAGCGUGGGGAGCAAACAGGAUUAGAUACCCUGGUAGUCC